AACAAGGCGUACCUGCGGACCUGCGGAAGGAUCAUUAUCCAUCCAAAACCAGCUGCGGUCGCGGCCCCACGCUUACCCGUGGCGGUACGCGCCGCACGUCUGCACCCUUUUUUUACGAGUACCUUCGUUCUCCCUCGGCAGGGCAACCUGCCGUUGGAACCAUACAAAACCUUUUUUUGCAUCUAGCAUUACCUGUUCUGAUACAAACAAUCGUUACAACUUUCAACAAUGGAUCUCAGA
rnacentral:misc_RNA from 1 species